rnacentral:rRNA from 1 species
UACGUAGGGUGCAAGCGUUGUCCGGAAUUAUUGGGCGUAAAGGGCGCGCAGGCGGCUACGCACGUCCGUUGUGAAAUCGCUCGGCUCAACUGGGCGGGGUCAGCGGAUACGGCGUGGCUGGAGCAAGCUAGGGGGCAAUGGAAUUCCCGGUGUAGUGGUGGAAUGCGUAGAUAUCGGGAGGAACACCAGUGGCGAAGGCGGUUGCCUGGAGCUUUGCUGACGCUGAGGCGCGAAAGCGUGGGGAGCGAUCCGG